CUUAUUGAAUUUCUUAAGUUCAUGUUUCUAAUACUUAGUGCUUUGAUAAUCUUUUAUCAAGGCUUCUUGAACUUAUACACCUUUGCCUUAGAUAGUUCAUAUGUGUGUGUAAACAAUUGCCAAACCUCACAAUUCAAAUUAUGGAAAGGGAUACCGUAACCAUAAUCGAAUUCGAGAAUGCAAUUUUACAAUCACUAUCUUCUUAAAAUCUUUCUUAGUGAAAGCAUUUCCUCACAAUCAUUUUCAUGAAGGAAGAAAUCUUAUGACACUUUGAUUUAAAUGGUGUAUUUGUUCAUAUCCAUGUGAAUUUGUCAAAACCAAAGUUUACGAAAAAUUCAAACUCAUGUGGAUCGAACUUUCCUAAUCUCUAUUUCUUGUCUUAUGGUAGCACAGCUGCCCACCAUGUCUUCCAAGUAGUUAAGCAGCUCACCUUUUCUUAUCAAUUUACUUUCCGUUGAUCAAGGUCCUUGCCUUUUAUGCAUUCAAAUGAGAACUCAUAGGACUCACAUGCAUAAUUAACUCGAUUGGAUUGGCACAGAAACAAAAUAAUGUCAACACGAUAGGUUGUAAACCUCAACUCGUGUGCUAGUGAUGAUCGAUAAGGUUUAUUUGAUUUGUUCUUGAAACCUUUCAAGACCAUUAAGACUCCCACUGACUCCUUGACAUAUAAGAUUCUCUUGUCAAAACAUUUCUUGACAAACAAAUAUUCAAGAGUUAGUGUAGCUUUUAUCAAAACUCUUCAUAAAUUGGUCCUAGUUGGUCUUUGUCUAAUCUAAGACAUCACAACUUUCCACAUUUGAUGAAUGUUAUAAACCUUCUAUCACACCCAGCUAAAGCAGAAACGCAAGAUAUGACAGCGAUAACGGUUUCAUUGCAAACGAUAAAGAUACAUCACCAUAGCAGUAUUUAAAAGUUUACAACCCAUAGAUUAAAAAGAAACAAAGUACAAGUUUUUCCAAAACAACAUUGUUCAAAAUAUAACUUCAUAAUAGCUUCAACACGAUGCAGCAUGCUCUAUGAUGAUGAAUCUUUACAUCAACUUACUAAUUAUUUUCUGAAAAGCAUGUAAAACGAGCAUCAAAUAUGAAAAUAGUUGGUGAGUUCACAAGUUUAUAAAAUCGAGCUUGAAAUAAGGCUUUUCGUAAAUACAAGUACAUUGCUUUAAUGAUAAACAAGGUUGAUUGCUAUUAAUGAAUACACGUUUAUUGCUAUAACGAGAAAUGAGUUUGUAUGUAUAUGAGAAAACAAUGAGUCUCAACCAAACCUAUGAUUGAAGUCCUAUCGAGAUCUAUGCUUAUUGUUCCAUAGAUGAAUAUGGUAUCAUGCACUCCAGCGAUUCGGGCGAGUGAGGAGUUGUCAAUUCCUAAUAGCGCUAUCCAUAAUGACCAUUGGCUCAAAGAGUUAAUGGUUAGAGAUAAGGGAAGGGCCUUAGUACGAUAAGUUCUCAUGUUCCGUGUUGCAUAGACAUACAUAAAGAAACAUAGCAAUACAAUAGCAAUCAUGUUUGAUAAUAACCAAUUUAAAUACAACAUGCAAAUUAUAGUUUUUCUGGACAUGCUUUUCCACCCCAAAACAUAAAAACUGAAAAUAGGGGAGUGCGUGAAUACUCACAAUGUUUCGAGUAGGUACAAGUGGUACUUCGGAAUGCACCAACGUCUUACUACCGGGAUCCUACGACAUCAAACACACACUAGUGAGUUUCCAUGUCGAAAUCUAAUGCUAAUAUACUAAAUUCUACAUAUAGUGAAAUGCCAAUUUAUGUUUUAGUAUUUGAUUUUAUAUUAAUUGGUUACACUUUUUCUGAAAUAACGAAAUUCUACAAGUCGUGCGAUUAAUUACAACUUUGGAAUAUAAAUUUUCCAAAUUUUUAAGUCUUUAUAACAACAUAAAUUCAUGAAAAAUAGCAUUCAAAGGAUAAAAGUUCUCAAACUUUUUAUUUAUCUGAUAUUACACAAUACUAAGCUGGGAAAGAUAUAAAAAUGGAUUUCCAAGCUGUUUAAUUAUAUUUUAUGAUUUUUGAGAAUUUAUUCCAAUAAAAAUUUAAAUAAAUAUAAAACAGUUUCCAAAAUUACCCUAACUUUUUAUUUAACUGUUAUUGGACAUAAAUAUGCUGGUAAAAAUAUAAAAGAUAUUUUUCAGUGGGUAUUUCUAUUUUUCCUUGUUUUAUUCCUUUAAAUAAUCAUUAAUUGAAGAAAUAAUACUAAACAGUUAAAAUAAAUUACCAAAAUUUUUUGUAACAUCAUCUACAGUAUAAAUAACCUGGGACAAAUAUCAAAAGUGGUUUUGAUAAUGUAUAAUCUGGUUUUGGGUAUUUAUGUGUAAUUAACAUUAGAAAAUAACAGAAAAAUAGUUUACAGUAGAGACAAAUCCUCAAAAUUUUUAUGUAACCUCCUACUGUACAAUAUGAUGUCAUGGUAAAUUUUCCUGAAUUUUGGAUAAUCAGAACUAUUUUUCCCAUUUUAAAACAAUUAUAAUUACCAAAAAUCAGAAAAAAUAGCAAGGCAUGAUGAAAAAUUUGGACAUUAUUUUGCUGAGUCACCCAUCACAGGUAAUGUAUACGAAAAUUGUUAGAUAAAAUUUUUACACUUUCUAAAGUGGCUUUGUGAUUUAUUAUAUCUUAACAAAAAGAAAAUUGAAAAUCAUACCAACAGCAACAAAAAUUGAUGAAAUUUAGUGAGGAGUCAUUAUCCGUCAUAAGGGUCAUCCACGAAUUUUUUCCGGAUUUAUUGACCUCUGGAAAUAUUUUAUGUGAUUUAUGCCCUUGGUUUCUAGCAAUAAUUUUAAUAAAUCAAAGAAAUAAUAAAAACCUUUGGUAUUUUACAGAUUAUCACAUGCAUGUGAGGGCUUUCAAAAUGAAAAAUGUUCAAAAUUUAUUCAGAAGGGAAAUAGGGGUAUUGAACCCAAACAAGUUAAGAAAUGUUGCAUGCAAUAGUGCAUGAAAUGUAAAUGUGGCUGAAGUUCAUGAAUUUGUGUAGCCCAUUCAGUGAGGAUUUAAGCCACGAAAUUUCAGCCAUCAUUCACUGGACAUGUUAAGUUCCUAAAGAAUUUUCCCCCAGAUUUAUGGUUGGGUUUAAGGGCAUUGAUCAUGCAAGGAAAAAAUGGUGAUCACAGAAAAAGAGUUGUUUGCGCAACUAUUUUGUAAAAAUUGCCCAAACUCGGAUAUUUAAUAUUUUACAGUGAGACCAGUUGGGUUUGAAAUUUAACUCAUGGUACUAUCCAAUACAAAAAGAAUAUCAUGAUAUGGUUAAGUAAUGACCGAGUUAUGGUCGUUCAAAGUUGAACAAAGUAAUCUGGCAGAUUGCAUGUUUGCUUUGAGUGCAUUCUUAAGAUAUUUUGACAAGAACAUCAUGCAUGCCUUUGUUAAGGUCUGAUUUCUAGCACAUGCAUGGAGUGAAUGAGCAUCCAAGAUGUACUAGAAAUGGUUUAAAUGCUUUUGAUCAUGUAAGAACACAAAAGAAAUGGAGAAGAAGAUGUAAUACUUGGUUUUGAAGUCACAUGGACAUAUGUGCAUCAUUUUCACUCCUUGCAUGGGUUUGAUCCCGGAUUUUCACCAUUUCAAACACAUGCAUUGUGUUACGAUGAGAAUCUACAAACUACAACGGAAAAAUAAGGAUUUCUAGCCAUGGAAAGGCAUAGAAUCCGAAAAAAAAAAGAGAAAACUAAGAAGAAGAAGGAGUAAAAAUCAUGAAACUAUGAGAGAGGAUUGUGUUGUUUACCUUGGUUUUGACCUUGAGAGAAGUAAGAACACUUGAAGCCUCCUAAAUCUCGAAAUAUGGAAGAGGAAGGGAGGAUUUCGUGAGUUAGAGAGAGAAAGGAAGAGAGUUUGUGUGAGAGGAGAGUGGAGUGUAAGAGAGUGAAGAGAGAAGAGGAAGUGUGAGGGUUUUGACUUAAUGAUUGUGUUUUGGGAAGAGAGAGUGCAUGGGGAGGGGAGAUGGCCGGCUCUAUCAUGCAUUAGGCCUCCUCUCUCCAAAAUUUUCAAAUUUUAUAAAAUUCCCUCUAUUUUCUUUAUAAAAACCCUAAUUUUAUAAAAGUGUUUAUUAAGCAAAUUUGAUUUAUUUAAAAAUCUUGUUUUUAACUAAUAAAUUAUGAUUAAUACUUGAUAAUUUAAUUUCUAUUUCAUUGAUUAUAAUUCAUAAUUUGAUUAAUAAAAAUUUGAUAUUAGAAAGUUUAUAGCCAAAUUUUAUAAAGUUUUUAAGCUUUAUAAUUUAUAAGUUUGGAUUUUUAGCUCUUUUAGGGUUUUGGAAUAUUGUUUGAUAUUCAUCAUCAUAAUGAAGUAUAAUUAGAAUAUUUUAAUUUAUUUUUAGGGUUUUAUACCCUUUUUCAAUUAUAACUAAGCUUGAAAGUUUCAUUCAAAUUAUCGCAUUGGCAUUUCCUAUUGUAGUUAAGCAACUUACUAGAAUUGUAAGUGUCAAGUAUAUUAGUCCUAGAUCUUAGUUGGAUCCUAGUUUAUGCAAGAUUUUGACCUAAUCUAUACUACUAGGCCAUGGCAUGUUGUGCAUGAAUGGUUUUUAUAAAGAUGCAUGAGUCCGAGAAUGACCUAAAUUUGACAGUUGUCAUAGUAUCCCCCACUUAAAAAGAAUUUCGUUCCGAAAUUCCUUAUAUGUCAUCACUUGUCAUCGCAUGGGAAAAGUUGUGGAUACUUUUCCUUCAUGAAGUCCUCACGCUCCCAGGUGUACUCCGGACCGCGUUUUGAGUUCCAUCGAACUUUCACAAUCGGGAUCUUACUCCGCUUAAGUUGUUUUACCUCCCUGUCAAGGAUUUCUAUCGGUUCCUCAAUGAAGUUUAGCUUAUCAUUGAUCUUAAUUUUCUCUAGGGGUACUAUUAAUGCUUCGUUGGCUAGACAUUUCUUAAGAUUGGAGACGUGGAAUGCGUCGUGAAUGGCGCUUAACUCUUGGGGCAACUGGAGUUUAUAAGCUACCGGACCAAUCCUUUCAAUGACUUCAAAGGGUCCAACAUAUCUCGGGCUUAGUUUUCCUUUCUUACCAAAACGCACAAGCCCUUUCCAAGGCGACACUUUUAAAAGUACCUUGUCUCCUACUUGGAAUUCUAAUGGUUUUCGACGAUUAUCCGCAUAACUUUUCUGACGAUCUCUAGCAGCUUUAAGCUUAUCCUUGAUGAUAGCAAUCUUGUCAGAUGUUUCCUGGAUAAGUUCGACUCUAGUCAACUGUCUGUCUCCGAUUUCUGUCCAGCAUAAGGGCGAACGACACUUGCGUCCAUACAAUGCUUCAUAUGGAGCACAUUGGAUACUCGUGUGGUAACUGUUAUUGUAGGAAAACUCAAUUAGAGGCAAAUGAGUAUCCCAAUUUCCUUUGAACUCAAUGACACACGCUCGUAGCAUGUCUUCCAAUGUUUGUAUUGUUCUCUCUGUUUGCCCAUCUGUCUGAGGGUGGUAAGUUGUGCUCAAAUCUAUCUUGGUUCCUAGUGCCCUCUGUAACAUCCACCAAAAUCGUGAUGUAAAACGACUAUCUCUAUCAGAAAUGAUAGAUAGGGGUACACCAUGCAGAGAAACAAUUUUGUCGAUGUAGAUUUGGGCCAAUUUUUCCAUCUUGAAAUCUUCCCGGAUGGGGAGAAAGUGAGCAGAUUUCGUUAGUCGAUCCACUAUGACCCAAAUUGAGUCGUGACCUUUAGCAGUUCUAGGAAGUUUGGUAACGAAAUCCAUAGAUAUUUGCUCCCAUUUCCAUUGGGGAAUUUCAGGUUGUUGCAACAGCCCGAAUGGUUUUUGAUGUUCAGCUUUGACUAUUGAGCAUGUCAAACACUUCCCGACAUACAAGGCAAUAUCCUUUUUCAUUCCAGGCCACCAAUAGUACUUUUUAAGAUCCUUGUACAUCUUAUCCGCUCCAGGGUGGAUUGAGUAUUUAGAUCGAUGAGACUCCUCUAAUACCAUAUCUCUCAGAUUGCUAACCCUUGGAAUCCAGACCCUGUCCUUAAAAUAACGAACUCCAUCAGGUUUGGAUUCAAAUCUCUCUUCCAAACCAUGUAAAGUCUCGCCUGCAAGAUUUUCCUUGAAUAACGCUUUCUCUUGGGCAUCAAUGAUUUGAGAUUUCAAGCUUGUCUGAAUUACCAUUCCCAAAGCUCUCACACAUGAAGGUUUCACUCUUUCUUUCCUACUAAGAGCGUCGGCUACUAUGUUAGCCUUUCCUGAGUGAUAUCGUAUCUCACAAUCAUAAUCACUAAACAACUCUACCCAUCUUCUCUGCCGCAUGUUUAACAUUUUCUGAUCCAGGAUAUGCUGAAGGCUUUUGCGAUCGGUAUAAAUGGUGCACUUGGUUCCGUACAAAUAAUGCCUCCAUAUCUUAAGAGCGAAAACCAUUGCUCCUAGUUGUAGAUCAUGGGUGGUAUAAUUCUUCUCGUGCGGUUUGAGUUGUCUGGAAGCAUAUGCAAUGACCUUAUCUUUUUGCAUUAGCACACAUCCUAAUCCUUGAUGAGACGCAUCACAAUACACCACAAAGUUCUCUAAUCCUUCUGGUAAAGCCAGAAUUGGUGCAUUGCACAGCUUGUUUUUCAGGAUUUGAAACGCCUCUUCGUGUUUCUCUUCCCAGAGAAAUUUUCUAUCCUUUUGGGUCAAAGAUGUUAAUGGUUGAGCAAUCCUAGAGAAAUUCUCAAUGAAGCGUCUGUAGUACCCAGCUAAUCCUAGGAAUUGUCGUAUUUCUGUCGGGGUUUUGGGGGCCUCCCAUUUCUUGAUUGCCUCUAUCUUAGCUGGAUCUACAUGGAUUCCUCUUUCGCCGAUCACAUGACCAAGAAAAUGUACUUCCCGAAUCCAAAAUUCACACUUAGUGAACUUGGCAUACAAUUUCUGUUCCUUCAACAGCUCCAACACUAGCUUUAGAUGUCUAUUGUGAUCUUCUUUGGUCCGCGAGUAAACAAGUAUGUCAUCGAUAAAUACAAUUACAAACCUGUCUAGGUAUGGUCUACAGACCCUAUUCAUCAAAUCCAUGAAUACAGCGGGUGCGUUCGUUAGUCCAAAAGGCAUGACUAAGAACUCAUAAUGUCCAUAACGGGUUCUAAAUGCUGUUUUGUGAAUGUCCUCUUCGUGAAUUCUUAGCUGAUGAUACCCUGACCGAAGGUCGAUUUUUGAGAAGUAGGAAGCGCCCUGCAACUGAUCGAACAAGUCAUCUAUUCUAGGGAGGGGAUAUCGAUUCUUGAUUGUCAACUUGUUCAAUUCUCUGUAAUCAAUGCACAUUCGGAACGAACCAUCUUUCUUUUUGACGAAUAACACUGGGGCUCCCCAAGGUGAAGAGCUUGGUCGAAUAAACCCUUUGUCUAGAAGUUCUUGAAGUUGUCCGGAUAGUUCUUGCAUCUCGGAUGGUGCAAGGCGAUAUGGUGCUUUUGCUACCGGUGCCGCUCCGCGAAUUAAGUGUAUCCGAAAUUCGACCUGCCUGUGAGGGGGUAAACCGGGCAAUUCCUCCGGAAACACUUCGGGAUAGUUUUGAACCACCGGAAUCUCCUUGAGUUGCUUAGCUUCAGGUUCUCUUUCUAGCACGUGAGCCGUGAAUGCAAUACAAUUCUUCUUCAAGUACUUGUGAAUCUUCAUGCUUGAUACUAUGUUUAAACUUCUUCCUAGCUUCUUAACGUGUAUGAUAAGGGUUUCUCCAUUAGGGAGAGGCACUCUAAUGACUUUCUCGUAACAACCAAUGUCCGCUCUAUUUUUGGAUAACCAAUCCAUUCCUACUAUCACAUCAAAACUACCUAGCUCUAUAGGAAUUAGGUCAAUGCUAAAGAGUUUAUCAGCUAAAUUCAGAGUACAACCAGGAAUUAUAUCACUAGCCCUAAUUUCAUACCCAUCAGCAAGUUCAAUAGCAUAAGCAUUCCUCAUCUUUACCGAUUUCAAGCCAAUUAACGGUCUAAAUGCUAAAGAAACAAAACUCCUAUCUGCUCCCGCAUCGAAUAUUACUGAUGCAAAAUGGUUGUUCAGGAGGAACGUACCUGUUAUCACUUCAGGGUUCUGACGAGCUUCUUCUGCACCAAUCACAAAGGCUACACCUCUUGGCCGUCCAACUUGAUUUCCUUGGAAGUUUUGCCUGGCUUGGCCUUGUCCAUUGUUAUCAGGUCCUUUGUUCAGUUUGGGACAUGCUCUACGGAGAUGAUCAGUACUCCCGCACUCGUAACAUGCCCUUUUUCCUUCCUUAUUCAUCUUACAAUACUUCGAGUAAUGGCCUGUUUGCUUACAGUUUUGACAUACUGGGCAAGCUCCCUUGUGAUGAAAGUUACACUUAUUGCACUUCGGAAGCGGUCCUGAGUACUGCUUUCGCUCCUGCACUUCCUGUUCUUGAGUUUUCACUGGUUCUUGCUCCUGGGCUCUUACCAUAAAGUUUCUUGAGACUUUCUGCUUCCUCCCUGACUUGCCUCCAUACUUCUUCUCUCCCUGAUCUGCUGGCUUCCUCUUACUACUAGAGCUUUUCUUUGUCGAUGCUCCCAUCCUUAUCACAUCAUUGGUUAGUCAAUUUGCUAGACUUACUGCACUUUGAAUAGUAGUUGGGUUUGCUGAGGUAACCAUUCCCCGAAUCUCUGGUGCCAGAUCCCAGAUGUAACGAUCUAUCUGUUUCUCGUCAGGAGUAACCAUGUGAGGUACCAGUUUUGCUAGUUCAUGAAAUCGGACUGUGUACUUCUCUAUUAGUGUUCCAACCAUAGAAUGGUUCCAGAAUUCAGAUUCAAGCUUCUGAAGUUCAUCCUUGGGACAAUACUCCUCUAUCAGUAGCUUCUUUAGGUCUUCCCAAGUUAGUUGAUAUGCUGUCGUACGGCCUCGGGUUUGCACUAGAGUAUUCCACCAGGUUAAUGCCCUAUCUUGGAGUAGGCAAGAUGCAUACUCAACUUUGUUGCGCUCGAGGCAUUUACUAAUGUGAAGGACCGACUCCAUGCUGUCAAUCCAUUUCAGCAACCCGACCGCACCUUCCUUUCCGUGGAAUUCCUUAGGUUUACAGGCCAUAAAGGACUUGUAGUUGCAUUCUCUUUCAUUGUUUCCCCGGUUUCCUCCACUACUUCCUUGGUUAGCAUUAAGUCUUGCAGUUACUUGAGUAACAAUGUUUGGGAUUGCUUCCACGAGUUGUUGUGCUACAACUUUAGCAACAUCGGGUGUUUCGUUCUGUGGGCGCCCGCGAUUAGGCUUUCUUGACAUGGUUCUAUUACACAAGAGUAGAAAUACGUAUAGUGAAAUGCCAAUUUAUGUUUUAGUAUUUGAUUUUAUAUUAAUUGGUUACACUUUUUCUGAAAUAAGUCGUGCGAUUAAUUACAACUUUGGAAUAUAAAUUUUCCAAAUUUUUAAGUCUUUAUAACAACAUAAAUUCACGAAAAAUAGCAUUCAAAGGAUAAAAAUUCUCAAACUUUUUAUUUAUCUGAUAUUACACAAUACUAAGCUGGGAAAGAUAUAAAAAUGGAUUUCCAAGCUGUUUAAUUAUAUUUUAUGAUUUUUGAGCAUUUAUUCCAAUAAAAAUUGAAAUAAAUAUAAAACAGUUUCCAAAAUUACCCAAACUUUUUAUUUAACUGUUAUUGUACAUAAAUAUGCUGGGAAAAAUAUAAAAGAUAUUUUUCAGUGGGUAUUUCUAUUUUUCCUUGUUUUAUUCCUUUAAAUAAUCAUUAAUUGAAGAAAUAAUACUAAACAGUUAAAAUAAAUUACCAAAAUUUUUUGUAACAUCAUCUACAGUAUAAAUAACCUGGGAAAAAUAUCAAAAGUGGUUUUGAUAAUGUAUAAUCUGGUUUUGGGUAUUUAUGUGUAAUUAACAUUAGAAAAUAACAGAAAAAUAGUUUACAGUAGAGACAAAUCCUCAAAAUUUUUAUGUAACCUCCUACUGUACAAUAUGAUGUCAUGGUAAAUUUUCCUGAAUUUUGGAUAAUCAGAACUAGUUUUCCCAUUUUAAAACCAUUAUAAUUACCAAAAAUCGGGAAAAAUAGCAAGGCAUGAUGAAAAAUUUUGAAAUUAUUUUGCUGAGUCACCCAUCACAGGUAAAGUAUACGAAAAUUGUUAGAUAAAAUUUUUACACUCUCUAAAGUGGUUUUGUGAUUUAUUAUAUCUUAACAAAAAGAAAAUCGGAAAUCAUACCAAACAGCAACAAAAAUUGAUGAAAUUUAGUGAGAGUCAUUAUCCGUCAUAAGGGUCAUCCAUGAAUUUGUUCCGGAUUUAUUGACCUCUGGAAGUAUUUUAUGUGAUUUAUGCCCUUGGUUUCUAGCAAUAAUUUUAAUAAAUCAAAGAAAUAAUAAAAACUUUUGGUAUUUUACAGAUUAUCACAUGCAUGUGAGGGCUUUCAAAAGGAAAAAUGUUCAAAAUUUAUUCAGAAGGUAAAUAGGGGUAUUGAACCCAUUCAGUGAGGUUUUAAGCCACGAAUUUUCAGCCAUCAUUCACUGGAUAUGUUAAGUUCCUAAAGAACUUUCCCCCAGAUUUAUGGUUGGGUUUAAGGCCAUUGAUCAUGCAAGGAAAAAAUGGUGAUCACAGAAAAAGAGUUGUUUGCGCAACUAUUUUGUAAAAAUUGCCCAAACUCGGAUAUUUAAUAUUUUACAGUGAGACCAGUUGGGUUUGAAAUUUAACUCAUGGUACUAUCCAAUAAAAAAAGAAUAUCAUGAUUUGGUUAAGUAAUGACCGAGUUAUGGUCGUUCAAAGUUGAACAAAGUAAUCUGGCAGAUUGCAUGUUUGCUUUGAGUGCAUUCUUAAGAUAUUUUGACAAGAACAUCAUGCAUACCUUUGUUAAGGUCUGAUUUCUAGCACAUGCAUGGAGUGAAUGAGCAUCCAAGAUGUACUAGAAAUGGUUUAAAUGCUUUUGAUCAUGUAAAAACACAAAAGAAAUGGAGAAGAAGAUGUAAUAAUUGGUUUUGAAGUCACAUGGACAUAUGUGCAUCAUUUUCACUCCUCGCAUGGGUUUGAUCCCGGAUUUUCACCAUUUCAAACACAUGCAUUGUGUUACAGUGAGAAUCUACAAACUACAAUGGAAAAAUAAGGAUUUCUAGCCAUGGAAAGGCAUAGAAUCCGAAAAGAAGAGAAAACUAAGAAGAAGAAGGAGUAAAAAUCAUGAAACUAUGAGAGAGGAUUGUGUUGUUUACCUUGGUUUUGACCUUGAGAGAAGUAAGAACACUUGAAGCCUCCUAAAUCUCGAAAUAUGGAAGAGGAAGGGAGGAUUUCGUGGGUUAGAGAGAGAAAGGAAGAGAGUUUGUAUGAGAGGAGAGUGGAGUGUAAGAGAGUGAAGAGAGAAGAGGAAGUGUGAGGGUUUUGACUUAAUGAUUGUGUUUUGGGAAGAGAGAGUGCAUGGGGAGGGGAGAUGGCCGGAUCUAUCAUGCAUUAGGCCUCCUCUCUUCAAAAUUUUCAAAUUUUAUAAAAUUCCCUCUAUUUUCUUUAUAAAAACCCUAAUUUUAUAAAAGUGUUUAUUAAGCAAAUUUGAUUUAUUUAAAAAUCUUGUUUUUAACUAAUAAAUUAUGAUUAAUACUUGAUAAUUUAAUUUCUAUUUCAUUGAUUAUAAUUCAUAAUUUGAUUAAUAAAAAUUUGAUAUUAGAAAGUUUAUAGCCAAAUUUUAUAAAGUUUUUAAGCUUUAUAAUUUAUAAGUUUGGAUUUUUAGCUCUUUUAGGGUUUUGGAAUAUUGUUUGAUAUUCAUCAUCAUAAUGAAGUAUAAUUAGAAUAUUUUAAUUUAUUUUUAGGGUUUUAUACCCUUUUUCAAUUAUAACUAAGCUUGAAAGUUUCAUUCAAAUUAUCGCAUUGGCAUUUCCUAUUGUAGUUAAGCAACUUACUAGAAUUGUAAGUGUCAAGUAUAUUAGUCCUAGAUCUUAGUUGGAUCCUAGUUUAUGCAAGAUUUUGACCUAAUCUAUACUACUAGGCCAUGGCAUGUUGUGCAUGAAUGGUUUUUAUACAGAUGCAUGAGUCCGAGAAUGACCUAAAUUUGACAGUUGUCACACCUUCUUAAUACUUUUCCACUCAAUGUCACAAUCUCAACUCUAAGACUUGUUUUGGAAUGAGGUAUGACUGACUUCUUGAUUUAACCAUUUCUUCAAUUCUUGAUUCCUCUUCUUAGACAUACAAUUGUACUAAGACUCACUUAGAGGAUUAAUUGAGAUAUGGUUCUUAAUCAUUAAGUCCUAUCAUAAAGCAUAAAAGCUACUCUCCCUUCUUCUUAGAAUGGAGAAACUUUUAUCUUUCUGCCUACUUGAUUCUUCUUAUUCGUUUUGCUAUUGAUUUAAACCUUUUCAAUCAAUUCAUAAUUACACUUAAUCUUGUAAGUAUAAUCACAUCUACUAAACUUUUAGUAAAACAUGACGAAUAUCUUUGUUACUCUUAUGAUGGACUUGAUCAACA
rnacentral:lncRNA from 1 species